GACACUUAAGGCCCUGAUGCAGGGCCCAGCCCAUGCGGGACAGCCCUCUCCGCUAAUUGUCCAUUGGCUGCCGCCCGCCGUCCUGCCGGCGUCUCUGGGCUCAUUAGGAAAGGGAAGAGGGGGGUCUGGGAAGAGCCUCCUGCAGCUCCAGCGGGCUUCCGAGAUUUUUAUCACACUGGACAGCACAGUUACAUUCAUUCUGCUAAAGGAGGAUCAAAACAAGAGGUCAGCAAACUAUGGCCCAUGGAUCCAGUGCGGCCCACCACCUACUUUCACAGAGUGCAGAGGAAGCCUUGAAAAUGGAACUUCUCCAUAAUGCCUGCAUCUCCACUCCUCCUGGGCUUUGGAAGGAGUCUGAGCGGCGAGGGAUUCUGAAGCUUAAGAUGUAGAAGGCAGCCAGGUCUGGGACCCAACCUGACUGAAGUUUACUGAAUACGGGCCUCAGAUGAAAAUCAAGACCAAUGAAAAUGCUGAACGAGGAAGCUACUGCUCACUUCACAAAAAGAUUUGUCCUUGACCAGAUGACGCUCCUGGUGCAUUUCUGACAACAGUUGAUUUAUAAGAGGUGGAUAAUAAUAGAGCAAGAAAAACAAUGGAGUGGGGAUGGAAAGAAGUGAGUUUUAUUCUGGGCUGCGUUAUCCUCAAGCUGUGUGGCAUCGUAUGGUAAAGUAAUUUCUCCAUGUCUUCAUUUUCCUACUGUCAAAGGAGGGAGAGGCUUGGAAGAAAUGGCUUCCCAGGUGUAGCCCAGCUCUGACCCUUCUAAAGCUCAUCCACCAAAUGCCAAUAUUUCUCCAUGCACCCUUCUAAAGAUUUAAAUUCAAUCUCUUCACCAGUGGCCAAGAGGACCCUGGAGAUAAGUGCAGCAACUUUUCUACAGGUGAAACACACGAUGUUUCAUGCAUUGCAUUGACUUGGAAACUUCCGUGUUUUUCAUCUAAGAACGGGGAGUUCUGAAGCAAAUGAGCACAACAGGGAAUAAGCCAUCCCACACAGGAAGCUGGGCAAUGGUCUCAAGACAAUACAUUCACACAAGUCCCGAGGCUGUGCGUCCACUUGUCCAGUGGUACGAUCUGAAGUGAAGUCCAUGAAGGACCUUUGUGAACAGAAGAUUUGGCUUUCCUCAUGAAGGAGGAGUUGCUCAGAAAAGGGCCACAUGUUAUAAUUUCUUGUCCCUCCUACCCUACUUUAUACAAAAUUGGUGCUUGAGGGGCACCUGGGUGGCUCAGUAGUUUAGGCCUCUGCCUUCAACUCAGAUAAUGAUCUCAGGAUCCUGGGAUUGAGCCCCGCAUCGGGCUCUCUGCUCGGCAGGGAGCCUGCUUCCCUCUUUCUCUGUCUGACUCUCUGCCUACAUGUGAUGUCUCUCUCCCUCUCUGUCAAACAAAUAAAUAAGAUCUUUAAAAAAAAAAAAAAAAAAAAGAAUUGGUGCUUAGCUAGGGC